rnacentral:tRNA from 1 species
GCUCCAGUGGCGCAAUUGGUUAGCGCAUGGCACUAAUAUGACAGUGCGUCCUGGUGAUGCCAAGGUUGUGAGUUCAAGCCUCACCUGGAGCA